rnacentral:rRNA from 1 species
CUGCUGUUAUACAGAAAGAAAAGAUAUAGGAGUGGAAAGCCUAUAUUAUGACGGUACUGUAUCAGAAAGUGACGGCAAACUAUGUGCCAGCAGCCGCGGUAAUACAUAGGUCACAAGCGUUAUCCGAAAUUAUUGGGCGUAAAGCGUCCGUAGGUUGUUUGUUAAGUCUGGAGUUAAAGACCGGUGCUCAACGCCGGCACGCUUUAGAUACUGGCAAACUAGAGUUAUAAAGAGGUAAGUGGAAUUUCAUGUGAAGCGGUGGAAUGCGUAGAUAUAUGAAAGAACACCAAUGGCGAAGGCAGCUUACUGGUUAUAUACUGACACUGAGGGACGAAAGCGUGGGGAGCAAACAGGAUUAGAUACCCUGGUAGUCCACGCCGUAAACGAUGAUCAUUAGUUGGUGGGGGAACCCUCGCUAACGCAGCUAACGCGUUAAAUGAUCCGCCUGAGUAGUAUGCUCGCAAGAGUGAAACUUAAAGGAAUUGACGGGGACCCGCACAAGCGGUGGAGCAUGUGGUUUAAUUUGACGAUACGCGUAGAACCUUACCCACUCUUGACAUCCCUUGCAAAGCUAUAGAGAUAUAGUGGAGGUUAACAAGGUGACAGAUGGUGCAUGGUUGUCGUCAGCUCGUGUCGUGAGAUGUUCGGUUAAGUCCUGCAACGAGCGCAACCCCUAUCCUUAUUUACUAACAUUAAGUUGAGAACUAUACGGAUACUGCUCAGGUAACUGGGAGGAAGGUGGGGAUGACGUCAAAUCAUCAUGCCUCUUACGAGUGGGGCAACACACGUGCUACAAUGGCUGGUACAAAGAGACGCAAUAUGGUGACAUGGAGCAAAUCUGAAAAACCGGUCUCAGUUCGGAUUGAAGGCUGCAAUUCGCCUUCAUGAAGUCGGAAUCGCUAGUAAUCGUAGAUCAGCUACGCUACGGUGAAUACGUUCUCGGGUCUUGUACACACCGCCCGUCACACCAUGGGAGCCGGUAAUGCCCAAAGUC